rnacentral:rRNA from 1 species
UACGGGAGGCAGCAGUGGGGAAUAUUGGACAAUGGGGGGAACCCUGAUCCAGCAAUGCCGCGUUGGUGUGAAGAAGGCCUGAGGGUUGUAAAGCACUUUCAGUGGGGAGGAGGAUGCUUAGGUUAAGAGCUAGAGUAUUGGACGUUACCCACAGAAGAAGCACCGGCUAACUCCGUGCCAGCAGCCGCGGUAAUACGGAGGGUGCGAGCGUUAAUCGGAAUUACUGGGCGUAAAGGGUGCGUAGGUGGUUGAUUAAGUUAUCUGUGAAAUCCCCGGGCUCAACCUGGGCAGGUCAGAUAAUACUGAUUGACUCGAGUAUAGGAGAGGGUAGUGGAAUUUCCGGUGUAGCGGUGAAAUGCGUAGAGAUCGGAAGGAACACCAGUGGCGAAGGCGGCUACCUGGCCUAAUACUGACACUGAGGCACGAAAGCGUGGGGAGCAAACAGGAUUAGAUACCCUGGUAGUCCACGCUGUAAACGAUGUCAACUAGGCUGUUGGUUAUAUGAAUAUAAUUAGUGGCGCAGCAAACGCGAUAAGUUGACCGCCUGGGGAGUACGGUCGCAAGAUUAAAACUC